GGACCGAGUAUUAUGCAUGUGUUGAGAAGAUGAUCCCCGAUACAACAAUACAAGAUUUACUAGUCGCUGAGCUUCCUAGGUACAAAAUGGCGAAUGGACUAUUUGGUUGUGGUCCGGCUAAAAGAGCUAGAGACACAAGGUCACCGGUGGAAUGGUGGUCACUAUUUGGUAGUGAAACACCAAACUUGCAAAAGUUUGCCAUGAAAGUAUUAAGCCUAACUUGUAGCUCAUCCGGAUGUGAGCGAAAUUGGAGUGUGUUUGAACACAUUCAUUCCAAAAAGAGGAA